UAAUGUUAGGGUUAGUGUUAGGUUUAAGGUUGGAGUAAGGGUUGUGGUUAGUGUUAGGGUUAGGGUUGUUGUUAGGAUUAAGGAUAGGAUUCGGGUUUGGGUUAGGUUUACGUUUAUUUUUAGGGUUAGUGUUAGGGUUAGUUUUACAGUUAGUGUUCGGGUAAGCAUUAGGGUAGGAUUAGGAUUAGUUUUAGGAUUAGCAUUAUGGUUAGUGUUAGGGUUAGUGUUAGGAUUAGGGUUAGGGUUAGAGUCAGGGUUAGUGUAAGGGUUUAUAUUAGGCUUAGAAUUAGUGUUAUGACUAAGAUUACAUUUAGGAUUAGGGUUUGUGUUAGUGUUUCGGAUAGGGUUAGUGUUUUGGUUAUGGUUAGGAUUCGGGUUAGAUUUAGGGUUAAGGUUAGGAUUAGGUUAGGGUUAUGGUUAGGGUUUGUUAUAGGGUUAGAUUUAGGGUAAGGGUUAGGGUUAGAGUUAUUGUUAGGGUUAGGGUUAGGUUUAGGGUUAAAGUUAGUUUUAGGGUUAGGGUUUGUGUUAAAUUUAGAGUUCGGGUUAUGGUUAGGGUAGGGUUAUUUUUAGGGUUAGUUUUAGGGUUAGAGAUAGGUUUAGGGUUAGUGUUAGGGUUCAGGUUAAUGUUAGGAUUAGGUUUAUCAUUAGGGUUAGAGUUAGGGUUAGAGUUAGGAUUAGGGUUAGUGUUUGUGUUUGGGUUAUGGUAAUGGUUAGGUUUAGUGUUAGGGUUAGUGUUAGGUUUUGGUUUAGGGUUAGUAUAAGGGUUCGUGUUAAGGUAAGGUUUACGAGUUUGGUAAGGUUUAGGGUUAGGUUUAUUGUUAUGGUUAGGGUUAAGAUUAGGGUUUGGUUUAUGUUUAGGGUUAUCGUUAGUGUUAGGGUUAGUGUUAUGUUUAUAUUAGGGUUAGAAUUAGUGUUAGGAUUGAGGUUACAUUUGGGAUUAGGGUUUGUGUUAGGGUUUCUGAUUGGGCUAGGGUUUCAAUUAUGGUUAGAAUUCAGGUUAGGGUUAGGGUUAGGGUUAGAUUAGAGUUAGGGUAGGGUUUUUUAGGGAUAGAUUUAGGGUAAGGUUAGGGUUAGUGUUAAGGUUAGGGUUAGG
rnacentral:lncRNA from 1 species